AUAAAUAGAUCCAAGUUCGGAUUUCUUGAGCACUAAUGCCCUGCUAUUGCUGGGUUAUGUGAAACCCUUUCUUAUGUUGAACACAAGAAGCCCAUGAUUAUUGGUACCACAGAUUCUCACAUUCUUAAUCAGUUCCACCUGGCCAAUAAACAGUAAAGCCAGGACAGCUUCUCUUCUGUGUGGCUUUCCUACUUUAUGGGUAAUAAAGCUGUCCUCAGUGUGAUUUAGGAGUCCCUUUGAUGCCUGCUAGUUUACUGUAUUGGUAUUUCAGGGGUGUUGGCAGUCAGCGGUGAGACUGCACUCCUGGCAUCUCAGAACUGUGGCAGUGAGCUCACCCGGCUAAAUAGCGGGGGAAACACAGCUGAUAUUUAUGAUACUUUAUUUUAGGUGUGUUUCUUAUAAAGAGCUAGUUGGAUUUUCUUUUGAUUCAAAUCUACAAUCGCAUUGGAGCAGCAAUGCAUCACUGGAGUUGAGGCCCUUUAAUGCUCACUGCUGACCCCUGUCUUCAUAGCAUCGUGCUGAUGACCGUUCGUGGUUUAAAGAUCAUAUUUGCUCAUUUUAAAGACUGUGGUUUGGACACCAAACAGCUGAAACUGGAAAUAAUUAAACCAAGGAACUCAGCCUCCCUUGUCCGUACCAGCAGGAGUGGCAUCGGCCAGGAUAAACUAAAACCCAGCCAGGCUGAAGUAGGUAUAAACAAAGAAAAUAUUGAGAAAGGAGAAGAGUGGAAUGUUGGCUUCUUUCAGAUUGGAAGAAUAGAACAAAAUAUCAGCUACAAAUGUGUCCUGUGGCCUGAGGCAUUGAAGCACCGCAGAGCCCCGCAAUAAUUUCCUGACAGAUCAGACAACCCACUUAUUCCAUGUCCCGGUUGUCCCAGUGACCUAGAUCAUUGUCAACAACAAAGGUGCUUUAGCUUUCAGUUUAAAAUAUCUGCUGGGUUUGCAAACUCAGAUUCACUUUGCCAUUUAGCUGAAAAUGCAUUUUAGGGUGCUGGAGUUUGCUUUCAUUCAUUCAUCCGCGCUUACUUAGUUCUCAGUGCAGAAGAAAGAGUGCCACCUACUGGAUGUGGGAUAGGAGGAGAAUAUG
rnacentral:lncRNA from 1 species